rnacentral:rRNA from 1 species
AGUGAACGCUGGCGGUAGGCCUAACACAUGCAAGUCGAACGGCAGCACAGUAAGAGCUUGCUCUUACGGGUGGCGAGUGGCGGACGGGUGCGGAAUACAUCGGAAUCUACUUUUUCGUGGGGGAUAACGUAGGGAAACUUACGCUAAUACCGCUUACGACCUACGGGUGAAAGCAGGGGAUCUUCGGACCUUGCGCGAUUGAAUGAGCCGAUGUCGGAUUAGCUAGUUGGCGGGGUAAAGGCCCACCAAGGCGACGAUCCGUAGCUGGUCUGAGAGGAUGAUCAGCCACACUGGAACUGAGACACGGUCCAGACUCCUACGGGAGGCAGCAGUGGGGAAUAUUGGACAAUGGGCGCAAGCCUGAUCCAGCCAUACCGCGUGGGUGAAGAAGGCCUUCGGGUUGUAAAGCCCUUUUGUUGGGAAAGAAAAGCAGCAGGUUAAUACCCCGCUGUUCUGACGGUACCAAAAGAAUAAGCACCGGCUAACUUCGUG